rnacentral:rRNA from 1 species
AAUGAACGUUGGCGACGUGGAUUAGGCAUGCAAGUCGAACGGGCCUAGCAAUAGGUCAGUGGCGGAAGGGUGAGUAAGGCGACGGCAACCAACCCCGAGGAUGGGUACAGCCGCGGGAAACUGCGGGUAAUGCCCAGCGAUGCGACGGCGUCGGCAUCGACGCUUCGCCAAAUGGACUCGUCCGCCUCGGGACGGGCCGUCGUGGUAUUAGGUCGUUGGCGGGGUAGCGGCCCACCAAGCCUUCGAUGCCUACCGGGCGUGCGAGCGCGGCCCGGCACACUGGGACUGAGACACUGCCCAGACUCCUACGGGAGGCUGCAGUCGAGAAUCUUCGGCAAUGGGCGCAAGCCUGACCGAGCGACGUCGCGUGGAGGACGAAGGCCUUCGGGUUGUAAACUCCUGUCGAGGGGGAGAAAGGUCGCGCAAGCGGCUUGAUCGAUCCCUGGAGGAAGCACGGGCUAAGUUCGUGCCAGCAGCCGCCGUAACAC